rnacentral:rRNA from 1 species
UACAGAGGUCCCGAGCGUUGUUCGGAUUCAUUGGGCGUAAAGGGUGCGUAGGCGGCUUGGUAAGUCUGAUGUGAAAUCCUGGGGCUCAACCCCAGAACUGCAUUGGAUACUGCCAUGCUAGAGUACUGGAGAGGAAACUGGAAUUUACGGUGUAGCAGUGAAAUGCGUAGAGAUCGUAAGGAAGACCAGUGGCGAAGGCGAGUUUCUGGACAGUAACUGACGCUGAGGCACGAAGGCCAGGGGAGCAAACGGG